ACCAGGAUCACACUGAAUAGCUUGCAGUCUAAGUAGGAAGGGCUGCAGGGGGACAAAAUGAGGUGACUGUCGUGCUCUGUCCACAGGCCUCUUGGAGCCACCUUAACCAACAUUUGCCUGGCUCCAAAGACCUCAUUCUCCCCAACACCACCAGAGUGCCACUCCUCUUAGAUUCCUACCAAGAAGACUGUUAUUUUCCUAAGGCCCUACCCACAGGGCCAGCAGUGUGGGUUCACCUGAGGGAGCCUGGCACACAGGCCCCCCCCAGCCUGCUCAGUCACCACCCUUUCAAGGCCUGAGCACCUCCAGGUGUACAGGGGCUUUGCACCAAGUCAGGUGAGCAUCACCAAGCUCGAGAGCCGCAGGGCUAAUGCUGUGGAUUAGAGUCCAAUUUACUUUAAAAUGCCCGUGGGACAAGGUCCAGGUAGCUUGAGGUUCCAGCUGAUUUUUCAGACUCUACAUGGAGAGACCAGGGGUGUUUAACAGGACUGCUGGGCACUGCCGUUUCCCAAGGGCCACGCUAGCCUCCUGGCUGGGAGCAUGGUGUGGACCUGAGGUCAAGGACAGCCACGGGAACAUGCCGUCAGAGACUGAGUGGUCACAGGUGAACGCUGUACCCUGGACUAGCUAGAGGAUACAGAAAAAGCCAAGUCCAGGAAUUUCAGUUGUCAGCAGGUGACGCACCUCUGGCCUUUUGCCCUGCUCUGCUCAGUGUGGGUCACCUGUCUUGACGCACAGGUCCUGGUCCUGGUCUCCUUAGACUUUCCAAGCACCUUCACACCUGGGGCUCCGUUUUGAUCCCCACGUGUAUUAUUGAGCCUAUUUUAUAGAUGAGCCAUUACAGGCACCCAGAGGGUUGGGCACUGCCCAGCCACGGAGCCAGUGGAGGCCAAGGCACAGGUACUCAUGACGCAUUCUCCCUCACGGGUGAGGGGCUAUGGCAGUGAUCAGGAGUCGGGCCCAGCUGCUGGCCUCAAGCACUGCGGUGGCCAGCCCAGGGCAGGUGCCUCAGCUCUCUGAUGCUCUCUCUCUCUGCCCACUGUCCUAGAGGCACACCAGGAAUGCAGGUGUGUCCCAGAGGUGGGCUCACCUCUGAGGAAGGGUGGCUUCUUCUGAUGCACUGCCUGCAUGGUGCCCGAGGGUGCCUGGCUGCCAUGUGGAGAGGAGGUGGAGACUGGGCCAGUGAUUGAUGCUGCUGUCCCUCAGCCUCUGAGCCAGGGAUGUGUGGAGCUUCGUGGCGCUGAGAAGGCACCAGCUCUGAGGUCCUGGGAAGGCUGGAAGCCUUCCAUGCCCCGUUCUCCAGGUGGCGGCCCAGCGGCCUUGUGCGCUAUCUCAGGAGCCCAAGAACAGCCAUGCAGCCAGGGCCUGUCUCAGGCACAUCCCCCCUCCCCUGGCGUCAACUCAGACUGGGGUUGGGGUCCAGCAGGACCUGUGGCCUCCCCUGUGUGCCCUGCCCCAGAGGCCUCACCACCACAGGGAAGACACACAGAAGGUGUGAGAGGCUGAUCAAGUGGGUACGGGGUGGCAGGAACUCCAGGGACUGGGCCAUGGGUUCUGGGGGAGGGGCCACUGGCUCCGGCAGUUGGACCUGGGGGCAAGCGUUGGUUGCUGGAGGGGUGACCAGUGGCAGCGCUGGCCAUAGCUGGAGGGAACCUCCUGAGAGCCCAGAGCAGAACCCCAGCCCUUCCCCAGAACUGCUCAGAGGACCACGUGUGGCCAGCUGCCCUUCAAACAGGGUCCAGCCCCCACAGUGGUGCUGUCCUCUCUUCCUUGCUCCCACCGGCCUUUCCCCAGAUGGCCUUGGGAUUGUCCCAGCCCUGAGGCCCCUCGGCUUCACAGAGUCAGCCUGUCCCUGCCAGGAGCGCGCCACGCCUGCCGAAGACCCUGUCUGUGAUCUGGGGUGUCCCCACACACUGCGUGGUUGGCAAGAGGUGCUCUUCCUGACGCGGGUUUCCUCUUUCCUUCGCAGUUAGAAACCAUGACCGCGAAGGCAACCUCCCCACCCCACUGUAAUCGGUGCUUGCAAAACACGGCUGGGUUGGCACUGGGGAGGGGGGCUGUUCUCCCAACUCUCGUAGGUCUUUCUGGUGUGGUAGGAAGGCCUCGCCAGGUCCUCUCAGAGAGGAGAGAGGCUUGCGGGCGGACACCUCCUGGGAUCACUGUGCCUCCCUCCCUUCCUCCCCCCCUCCCUCUGCCCGGGUGAGGGGCUGCGGCUGGGUCCUUUCUUCACCCGCAGGAGGUGGCAUAUUUGUUCAGCUUAGUGCCAAGGUCAAGCGCAGACCCUGGUCAGAAGCCAAGCGUUCCAGUCCCGGUAGCUUGCAGCCUUGGCAUGUUAUUUGACCUGCCUCGUCUCCCUCGUCAGCAGAAUGGGCAGGAUAAUGGCGCUUAUUCCAUGUUAGGUGGGUGAGAUGAGUCAACACGCUCACCUUAAAACAACACCGAGCACUGUGGUGGCUGUUGCUACUGUCCACCCGAUUCUCUUGCUAGGGUCACCAUAUUGUGUUGGGGCAUUUGAGAUGGCGAGUAGCCAGCCAGGCCGGGCCCCAUGGGUGCGUGCCAUUCCUGCCUGGAGCAGAGACCUCUUCCAGCUUCGUCCACCACCAGGGUGGAUGCCAUACCUCGCUGCUUCUGAACGCAGCGUCUUAGACCACUCGGCCAUCCUGACGGCACCUCGCUGCUUCUGGCAGAGAAAUGCCUAGCAGGGCUCAGAUGACCAAGAGAGGUUAGUGCCAUGCACCCUUUCCUGUGAGAAUGCCUGGGUUCCACAUGACACCGACUUCACUGGCUUCCCUGCCCCCUCCAUCACCCCUGUGUGUGCCAGCCACUGCUGGGCCACCCACCCACAGUGGCUGCUCAGCACACAAUGGUGACUCCUGUGGACUUCCUUGGCACCAGGCAGACUGUCCUGUGAGAACACCAAGCCUGCCUGUGUAUUUGGCCUGUGUGCAGAAAAUAGGUGAAUUGAGUGCCGCGGCUCAAAGCCCACCGGCUGGCUGGAUGGAGGAACUGAAAUACAUUAGGGGGAACCCAUGGGCACAGUGGCUGGUGCUUGCCUAGGAACGUCCCCUGAGCAUUGAUUUCACUUAAGCUAAGUAGGAGCACCUUAGACACAAGCUCCCACAGUGCCUUGCAGCCACCAGAGCCCGAGGCUGAGCUGGACACGCUCUGGCCUCUCCCCACGGGAGUGGACAGCUCUCCUCUGGGCCCCUACUGGCCUCUGGCUGUAGGAAUGAACUGUGACACCAUGCUGGGCACUGCUUUGCCUGCUGUGCGAAGAGCAUGCAAGACUCAGGGAGGUAUGCAGUGGCCGUGCCAUCCACCUGAGCAGCUUUAAUGGUGCAGAGGCCCUGCUGGCAGGGCUCCUGCUGGACAAGAGAGGACGUCUGGAUGGCGUAGUUUGUGUGGGGCUUCGUGGAACGAGCAGCAUUCUGUUCUCAGUUUUUGCGUGAGAGCAGCUACUGUUCUCGAGGUUUUGCGUGCGCCUCUGUCAGCUGGUUACCUUGCAGCACGACCAUCCUGCCUCAGCUUCCCAUCAACACACAGGGUCAGUGCAGUGUCCUCCUUUGCAGUGGGGGUAGCCAAGGCCCAACUGCAGGAGUUAACUGUCAGAGGCACCAGGCAGGAGCCACAGCUGAACUGUAGUUGAGUGCCGGCUGCCGGAGGCCCCUGCAACGGAAGGUCUUCUCUUCCCUCUGGCUGCUUAAAUUUCCAGGUGAACCCAGAAGGUGACCGCGCCAGCCCAUGGUGGGAGAACUGCUCCUCUGAUUCAGAAGAGGGCACAAAGGUCCUCCACAGCAUUGGCAUGGGUGCCUCUCCAAGCCUGCUUGCUGCCCUCUUGUGAGAAGAACUGUCCUUCUAUCGCAGAGCCAUUGUUUCCCAAGUGUCAGGUUUAAUUUAGGCACCCUCUCUCUUGAGGAGAUUGCAAAAAUUAAAUCGUUUUUAAGCAACCAAACAACGCUUCUGGGGUUUGUAACAAACUUGUGAAAUGUGCGGAACUUGGCGGUUAGGUUCCCCUGUCCUGCUCCCUCCUCAUCUUGCCAACUGGGGCCUGGCUACUGCUCCUUGGACCAAGGACACCAGAGUCCUCAGCUAAUCAAGGGACUCUGGUGGAGCAACCCCCCAAACCCCAGUCCCGGCUUCUGAUCCUGCCAUCCCUCUGCUAUGUAGGAAAAGCCAACAGACCAGGUGGGUGGGGAGUCCCACCUACAGAUGCCACAGACCAUCAUGACAGUGACACAUAUGAGCAGUCACCUUGGCUUGGUGAGUCGCUCUGUCCCCUUCUCAGAUGACUCCAGGGCCCUUGAGGGAUAGGACUACAUGUGGGCCACCUCUGUCUCUGCUCUAGAGAAUAUCCUGGCCCCCGCAGGGAGGUGGCCUUGCUUCAGAUGUAGCUGGCUGGUGUUGCUGGCCUCAGCUGGGCACACAAAGCUGUUGUCUCUAGCUCCUCAUAACCCUCAGUCGGGGGCUUACCUUCAAGUGGUCAGGAUUCAGAAGGGGCCAAGGCUACCAAGAUGACAUAACAGGCCAUUCCCUCCAUAGGAAGCACUGAUGGGGGACAGGGGGCCAGGAAGGUGCUGAGACAUGGCCUCUGGUCUUUGGUGUCUACAGGGCAGGGCCUCUACAGUUUCCUCAUCCUAGUAGUUACGAAUCUGGAGUCCAGAGGACUGGGUCCUAGCCCUGACCAACAUGGACAGUCUGCACUCUCCUGUGAAGAUGCCUAGGAGGGGCUCAGAACUGUGCCCAGAGGCUGGUGUGUGUGCAGCAGCAGUGGUCACAGUAUUAUUUGACCAUAUCUCUGCUCCAAGGAGAUACCAUGACCUGGUCAUAGGUUCUAACCACUGAACCAUGGGAUGAAUAAGAAACUGUCUCAGUGGUUGGCAAGGCUCACUGACAAAGGACACUGCAAAGCCUUACUGAACAAUGGUCCCCAAAGAUGUCCACGACCUCAUCCCUGGACCCUGGGAAUGUGCUAGGUCUCAUGGCAAAUGGAAAGUAAGUUUGAAAAGGGAAUUAAGGUGACCCCCAGGUGACCUUAAGAUAGCAAGGUUGGCCUGGACAUCCCAGGUGGACAGGAUAUAAUCACAGGGUCCUUGAAAGUGGAAGAGGGUGACAGAGAAGGAGAGGCAGAUGUAGGUGUGACCACAGAAGCAAGAGGGUUAGGGGUGGCACUAGAGUGGCACAGAGAGGCCAUUUGGCUGGCAGAAGAAGGAGGCCAGCCCAGGAGCCAAGGGGCACGAGAGGUCUGCUAAAGCUGGCGGGGCCUCGGAACAACUUCCCCUAGAGCUCUAGGGAGGAGCACAGCCCUGCCGGCCCCUGGAUGCUAUUAGCCAGGGAGAAGUCAUCCUGCAGCACUGAAGGACAGUGAGUGUGACGUGCAAGCUGUGACGUUGAUGGCAAUUUGCUGCAGCAGCAGGAACCUGUGCACAGGGCCGCCGCCCCUGUGUCUGGGUGCUGCCUCUGCUGGGCCCAGGUGCUCAGCUUGCCUGUGUGGGGCUCCGGGCCCCUCCAGUCCUUCCACCAGGCCGUUCUGUGGUGUGUACCUUUCUCUGGUCGAGAAAGACCAAGCAUAUCCAAUGCUACCAAGAGUCUGACCUUUUUCUGGAGAUGCUUAUUAAAAACUCUAGGGUUUUCUUUCACCAUUGGUUCUUCAGGUUCUACUAGGGUUGGAAGGCAGCUGACUCUGGAGCAGCAGAAGUACUGGGAAGCAGCUGUUUGCUUUGGUAGCUCCUGACCAGUUUGGGAGUCUGCACACAGUAUUGGACCCACAGCGCAGUGAGGCUCCAGGCCGACUUCCUCCUCCCAGAGACGCCCAAGAACGUAGGAACACCAGUGUUCUCCCAUCACCUGCCAGACCAUUAGGGCUCAGAAGGACUUGCGUCCACCUGAAGAGAGCUGGAGGCCCAUGUGGCCCAGGCCCUGGGCAGUUCACUGCUCCCCCUUGGGCCCCUCCACCUUCAAAGCAAGUGAUGGAGAGCCCUCGUGUCUUCUCGGGCCUCCCACUUUACCAAGCGAGGUUGAAUUUACAACUUCUUUCGGGCAACAUCUGGCUUGCUUCCCACGAGUGCUUCCUCUGGUUUUAAUCUUUUAUCUAACGUCAUUUCAGUUCCGUUUCCUGAAUCUCCUUUUUCCCUAUUUCUUCUGGCAUUUGGAGACAAGAGAUGGGAGUCAGAGGGCUUGUCACUGAAGCCAAGGGCUUAGCUUGGAAGUGCAAGUGCCACCUGGGCCCUGCUUGAUUUAUUUCUUUUAGGCCACAGAGCCACAAGGCUCAGACCCCAGUGAGCUGCCGGGACAUCUUGUGGCACCGACUCUUUGCACACUUGUGCAGAGAUUCGGCUGCCUCUCAACCCUAGGGCACACUUAUGCCCCAACCCACCUGGAUUCUGACUAUUGCUGUUGUUGGGGCUUAAAUAGAAAAAGGUUCUGUGGGUUUUAUAAAUUCUGUAGGUUUUGCUACGGUAGGCCAAGCCAGGGGAGGGAGUGCAGAGGCCGCAGUAGGCCCCCGGCAUUGUUUCGGGCUCACUCUGCUCUGUGGCCACCCUCAGGAAGGCCCUGGUCACCAGGGGAGGCUGGGUUAAGGCCUCUGAGAAGCUCCCCAGCCUCAUGUUGAAAAUACCCACACUUCCUGCUCCUCUGCCGACCUCUGCACAGACCGCCAGUGACUCACCUGCAGUGGUUUGAAAAGUGCCUGUCACCCGAGGCAUCUCGAGAGCCCAUCCUGUUUCAGAUGUUAUUUUUUCCACUCUCAGCUACGCAGUGGUAGAAAAGCUGAAUGCUUCAAGCCAGUGUUUGUUUUGAGUGCAGAGGGUGAAGGGCGAAUUAACUGCUGCAGCAGGAAGAGCCCAACUCUAAGAGGGGGGAAAAACAUGUAAACAGUGUGGGGAUUGAGUUUCAAAGCCCUUGUUUUCGAAAAGUUUAAUGAUAUUUCAACUAAAGCCAAACUGUCAAAGCAUGGGGAGGGGCCAUCUGCCUGCUUUGAAAACGCAUUAGCCUUCUUAUGUAAAAGCCAAUAAUUGACAUCCAGGAGGAAACCCGAGCUGCAGGGGAGAGGUGGCCUCUUAGAAGGGCCCCAAUGCCACAUCCCUAUCGCCAUGUGCACUUCUUCAGAUCUUGGUCUCUGACAUGGGAAAUUGGAGAGGAGAACAAAGGGGAAGCACAGAACGGUCCGUGGACAGAGAGGGUUGAAAUACCAGGUCUAGUCUGCACAGUGCAUGGAUCCGGCUCUGUGGGUCAUGAUGUAUGCUAGAGCAACCUGGCAGGGGCCAUAAUCAUCAAGACAGGAGCAUUACAAACAACUGCCAGUCUCACCUUCUUCCUCCUGAGAAACGUAGGAUGUGUCUGGGCUGCCCCAGGACAGGGCCAACGCUGGGCCUCUCCGGUUCCCUGCCUGACGGGUUUGCAGGCUGCUCUCUUCUUCCAGACUCUUCGCAGCCACUUCCUCUAAAGAGGGACCCUUCUGUGCCUUGGCAGUUCCCAUUCCUGCUUCUCCUUUGGUGAUUUCUAGAACUUUCUGGUUUCCAGUGCACAGAUUCUUCCUCUUGUUCUCUGGUGUCUAAGGAGACUCUGUAUCCUAAACCAUGCCCAGGCAAGGUUGACCUUGCACGGAAUGAAGAACUAUAUAGGCCCCAUAACGCGAGUUGGGGUAGAGGAGAGUAGGCACCCGACAGAUUGAGACAGGAUCGGGGUGCCUCUAGCUAGGAAUGACUGGCUUUAGGCUUGGGUCCCCAAAGGUGGCCAAGUCUUCCUUGUUUGGUCAAGCCUCUGGCCACGUGGCUCUUGGAAUGAUAGGAUUCUCCCUCCUUGUUCUAGUUUGCAUACUAAAAACAUUGCUUGUGGGAAUCAGCAGAGUGUGCAGGAAAAUCAGAAAGGGGCCGCUGGUGGGAAGCAGGGCAGGAGCGCCCUGAGUCCAGCUCCUAGCUCAGUUGGCAGCGUGUGGAGUCUGAGGGCCACACUGGCCGCAGGGUGCGUGGUUGUUGGACAGAUGCUGCAGACAGCCAAAGGGUUCUAUGAAGAGGAGGGUCGGGCCCCGACAAGCCCACUGAGACAUCUCACCCCAGAGCUCAUCCCAAUCCCCAUUCCUUCCUCCCCAGCAAAGCCGAGCAGGGCUCGGGUCACCUUCUGCUGCCUCCAAACUUCCCGUUCAAGUUCUCCAAAGCUGAGGACAUCUCAUGGUGGUUGGAAGAGCCACCAGCUGGGAGCCUGGUGCUGCUUCUGGUAUUAAACUAAAUUUGGACACGUGAUCCUGCCUCUCUGGCCUCACGUCCUUUCUUCAUCUGAAACCUAGGGAACUGGGUUUGACGAUUUUCAAAAAUAUAUUAGAAACUAUUUGUCAGAAAGUCAUGUAUGUUUUUAAAAAAAUUGUGUACAUUUUUAAAUUGACACAUAAAAUCUGAACCUGUUGGUGAGUCCCC